UUUCCGUAGGUGAACCUGCGGGAGGAUCAUUACAGAGUUCAUGCCCUCGCGGGUAGAUCUCCCACCCUUGAAUAUUUAUACCUUAGUUGCUUUGGCAGGCCGUGGAAACACCAUGGGCUCCGGCUUAUGCGUGCCUGCCAGAGGAAACAAACUCUGUUUUUAGUGAUGUCUGAGUACUAUAUAAUAGUUAAAACUUUCAACAACGGAUCUCUUGGUUCUG
rnacentral:misc_RNA from 1 species